AGUUGCUACUAGGGGAGCCUUGAUGGCUGAGAUGUAAUUUACAGACCCUUUGAACUUGAGACUAGGUAAUACUAGCGGAAGAAAGUGCACGAAAAAACAG
rnacentral:ncRNA from 2 species